rfam:Candidate division WOR_3 bacterium SM23_60 WORSMTZ_10971, whole genome shotgun sequence.
GGGGCCGUAGCCCAGUUGGGAGAGCGCUUGACUGGCAGUCAAGAGGUCACGGGUUCGAAUCCCGUCGGCUCCA